rnacentral:lncRNA from 1 species
CCUUUUGCUAAGGUGAUAGCUACAUGUCCAAGCCUAUUGCGUGGCAUGCAUUUUGCCUUCUGCAGCCCACUAAAGGAAAUUGAGGUAUACGGAAUGCUUAUUUGGUUUACUCAGUAUCAUCCUAAAUGUAUGUACCAAUGCUUAGGAGUUUGCAGUUCACCCGCAAACCUCAGCGAUCCAAGCUCCCCUGGAUGACCAUCACUCACCAAGAAAAGAACAAUAACAGGACCUGUUUUGCUAAUCCAGGACUGUUCUCCAGCACUAACUCUAAAUAAUCCCUUCUGCUAGAGUCCACUUUCUGGAACCUGUUGCCUCCGUUUUCAACGUUUCCCAAACUUGGUCCGUUGUGUGAGCUGGCUGAUAAAAGUUCCAGGUAACCUUCCUUGUUCUCAAGGUCCAUUUUCCAGGAAAAUCUGAGUCAUGGUGCUGGGGAGGACACUUAAGUACAUCAGUCAAUCAGAUGAUUAUUAAAUUUAGGAAAUAGUAGAUCAACUGGAUUAACUGGAUUAAAAUGCAGAAUCCCAGGCCCCAGCCCAGACCUACUGAACCAGCAUCUGCUCUUUAACAAGAGCCCCAUGUGAUGUGUAGGACAGAAAACUUUGCGAAGCACAGGGUUAGACAGUCUCUAAAGCCUUCUGCAGAUCAGAAACGCAGCAAUUCUGAGGUUUUCUUCAAUUUUCUAAUGUUAUUUCCAGCUCUUUCCCCUCUCUUCUUUCCUUGAUAUGCUGAGGAAAACUUUCUCUGUGAUAAGCAGAGUAGGUGUCUUGUUCUGUGAAUUUC